AAACCAACUGGGAUUACCUUAGUAACGGCGAGUGAAGCGGUAAAAGCUCAAAUUUGAAAUCUGGUACUUUCAGUGCCCGAGUUGUAAUUUGUAGAAUUUGUCUUUGAUUAGGUCCUUGUCUAUGUUCCUUGGAACAGGACGUCAUAGAGGGUGAGAAUCCCGUUUGGCGAGGAUACCUUUUCUCUGUAAGACUUUUUCGAAGAGUCGAGUUGUUUGGGAAUGCAGCUCAAAGUGGGUGGUAAAUUCCAUCUAAAGCUAAAUAUUGGCGAGAGACCGAUAGCGAACAAGUACAGUGAUGGAAAGAUGAAAAGAACUUUGAAAAGAGAGUGAAAAAGUACGUGAAAUUGUUGAAAGGGAAGGGCAUUUGAUCAGACAUGGUGUUUUUGCAUGCACUCGCCUCUCGUGGGCUUGGGCCUCUCAAAAAUUUCACUGGGCCAACAUCAAUUCUGGCAGUAGGAUAAAUCAUUAAGAAUGUAGCUACCUCGGUAGUGUUAUAGCUUAUUGGAAUA
rnacentral:rRNA from 1 species